rnacentral:lncRNA from 10 species
AGGAGGAAGACAGUCAAUAAAGAAUUAUCCAAGCACUUACAGCCUUCUGAAGUGGUCCCUGGUGAGAAAAGCAUACCCUACAUCAUAGAAAAGUCUCUGUUCAAAAGGACUCAAAGACAAGAAAUGAUGCUCAAACAAGAAGGUACCAGGUACCUGUGGGUGCUGGAGAUUCCACUGAGAACAAGGAUGGGAGUCAUUGUUCCACGAAGCUUACAUUUCAGAGGGCCAAGAAGAUAGAAG